UACGAAGGGGGCUAGCGUUGCUCGGAAUCACUGGGCGUAAAGCGCACGUAGGCGGCUUGUUAAGUCAGGGGUGAAAUCCUGGAGCUCAACUCCAGAACUGCCUUUGAUACUGGCGAGCUUGAGUUCGGGAGAGGUGAGUGGAACUGCGAGUGUAGAGGUGAAAUUCGUAGAUAUUCGCAAGAACACCAGUGGCGAAGGCGGCUCACUGGCCCGAUACUGACGCUGAGGUGCGAAAGCGUGGGGGGCAAACAGG
rnacentral:rRNA from 1 species